UGCUUUUUGAAGAAAUUUCCCCCUUCUUUUCACAAGCAUUUACACAUGUUCAAGUCUCUUUUAUAGUAAAGUAGAACAUCUUUCCCUGGGCCAAGACGACCAUGUUUCAUGCUUCUACGUGUACAACUUGUUGGAUGUGAGCCAUCCCAGGAAGGGGUGUUACCUUGGGGAAUCCCUAAAGGGGCUGACAGCUGAAGGAUCUCUGCGGAAAACGCUCCCAGCAUCUCAAUCAGCAAGACCUUCCUUGAGAAAGAUUGGGUGGCAUAUCACAGUGUCCAGCACAGUUCAUUCCUUUAGUUGUUUGUAUCUACUUCAAACACAUUUCUGGAAGCAGGUCCUCUGGGAUUCUGUAUACCAACCCGAUUCUCUACUUUGUGCCACGGUUAACUGCUCCACCUAUGACCAAUGACGAAAUCCUCAUUGUUGGCUGGGUAGUGAGUGAUCCACCCUCAAAACUUCGUCUUUAGCACCUGCUUUCUCAGACAGAUUGGAUUUCCUUGGAAGCAUGUUUAAAGAUGGAAUUUAGCAUUCAGGUGGCUUAUUAAGGAAUAAGUGGAAGGAAGUAGGAGGGAACAGAAAAAAAUCAAGCUGUGAUGCAAGCUGAACAACAAUUUUGGGCAACCCUAUGGGAAGCUCUGGAGCUAGGAAGGUCCUUCCAUUUUUCUCAAAUGGACAGAGAUGUCCACAGCUUUAUAUAACUGUAUCAACAGGUCAUUGGAUGUAAGUUAUCUACAGAGGAGCUCCAGCUAGAAGCUUUUUUGCAGCUGAAAGCUUGGUAUGCCCUGAAGGGGCUGAGCCUGAAGGUUGUCGACUGACAGCACUUGCAGCACAUGGUGCAAUGAGUCCUUCACUGAAGGAGAAUCUAGUAGGUGCAUAACUAUGUUCACCACUCCUGGAGUUAUGGAAGUUACUUUCAACUCUACACUAUUCGUGACUGGGACUGUUGGACAUAUUAAUUUUGGUAAAUACUACAGAUUUCCUUCAGAUGGUCUUAAAGAUUUAUAUUCCCAGUAGAAUCAAUGAAAGUUGCAACUCCUCAGACUCAACGCUUAAGUGAAGUUAGGUAGUAGCAUGCCAUUCUGAAUAUAGCCUUUCUAU
rnacentral:lncRNA from 1 species